CGUUAAAACACCUUUUCACGUACGAUCACCGAAGUUUAGCAACGUCGAGCCUGAUCAGUACCUUGAUGGGUGACCGUUUGGGAAUACCAGAUGCC